CCUACGGGUGGCAGCAGUAGGGAAUAUUGCUCAAUGGGGGAAACCCUGAAGCAGCAACGCCGCGUGGAGGAUGAAGGUCUUCGGAUUGUAAACCUCUUUUUUUAUAGAAGAUAAUGACUGUAUCUAACGAAUAAUCACUGGCCAACACCGUGCCAGCAGCCGCGGUAAUACGGAGGGUGCAAGCGUUACUCGGAAUCACUGGGCGUAAAGAGCGCGUAGGCGGGAUAGCAAGUCAGAUGUGAAAUCCUAUGGCUUAACCAUAGAACUGCAUUUGAAACUGUUAUUCUAGAGUAUGGGAGAGGUAGGUGGAAUUCUUGGUGUAGGGGUAAAAUCCGUAGAGAUCAAGAGGAAUACUCAUUGCGAAGGCGACCUGCUGGAACAUAACUGACGCUGAUGCGCGAAAGCGUGGGGAGCAAACAGGAUUAGAUACCCCAGUAGUC
rnacentral:rRNA from 1 species